rnacentral:rRNA from 1 species
UACAGAGGGGGCAAGCGUUGUUCGGAAUUACUGGGCGUAAAGGGCGCGUAGGCGGCCUGCUAAGUCGAACGUGAAAUCCCCGGGCUCAACCCGGGAACUGCGUCCGAUACUGGUUGGCUUGAAUUCGGGAGAGGGAUGCGGAAUUCCAGGUGUAGCGGUGAAAUGCGUAGAUAUCUGGAGGAACACCGGUGGCGAAGGCGGGUCUCUGGGCCGAUACUGACGCUGAGGAGCGAAAGCGUGGGGAGCGAACAGG